rnacentral:rRNA from 1 species
CCUACGGGAGGCAGCAGUGAGGAAUAUUGGUCAAUGGGCGGAAGCCUGAACCAGCCAAGUAGCGUGCAGGAUGACGGCCCUACGGGUUGUAAACUGCUUUUAUACGGGAAUAACGCGCCUUACGUGUAGGGCUUUGCAUGUACCGUAUGAAUAAGGACCGGCUAAUUCCGUGCCAGCAGCCGCGGUAAUACGGAAGGUCCGGGCGUUAUCCGGAUUUAUUGGGUUUAAAGGGUGCGUAGGCGGGCUGUUAAGUCAGCGGUAAAAGCCCGGGGCUCAACCCCGGCGAGCCGUUGAAACUGGCUGUCUUGAGAUGUCGAGAGGUAUGCGGAAUGCGCAGUGUAGCGGUGAAAUGCUUAGAUAUUGCGCAGAACUCCGAUUGCGAAGGCAGCAUACCGGCGGCGAUCUGACGCUGAGGCACGAAAGCGUGGGUAUCGAACAGGAUUAGAUACCCCAGUAGUC